rnacentral:snRNA from 1 species
AGGCUCACUUCGGCAGCACAUAUACUGAAAUUGGAACGAUACAGAGAAUAUUAGUGUGGCCCUUGGGCAAGGAUGACCUGCAAAUUCGUGAAGCGUUCCAUAUUUUU